GACAGUGUCAGGCGGGGAGUUUGACUGGGGCGGUACAUCUGUUAAACAAUAACGCAGGUGUCCUAAGGUUAGCUCAGUGAGGACAGAAACCUCACGUAGAGUAAAAGGGCAAAAGCUAACUUGAUCUAUGACCUUCAGUACUGGUAUAGACCGCGAAAGCGUGGCCUAUCGAUCCUUUUGUUGUUAUUAAACGGUUGACAGUUUCAAGCAAGAGGUGUCAGAAAAGUUACCACAGGGAUAACUGGUAGCGCUAAGGCUUAACGUGUGGUUGUUGCCUCGGUGGCAAUCAUUAUAUAAAGCGUUAAGCGGUGCAGCGUUACAAACUCUGAUGUUUAGUGCUAUCGAUGGUAGUACGGAGAAGGGGCAACCUGGUGAACGUACUGCCUUUUGGGCCUAGCGUACAAGUCCCAUUGACUUGGGCUAAUUCCUAUAUGUGCAUGUGUUUGGGGCAACUUGAAUGCGUGCAUGAGCCAAAGAGGGUGAAAGUCCCCUAAUGCGCAGGUAUUGGUAACACGAAUCGGAGCAGUGGCGUCGGCGUGUAAAAGCGUCGGCGUUGCGGUUUGUUAGAGUCGGGUUGCUUGAGAGUGCAACCUAAAGAGCGAGGUAAACUGCUCGUAAGGCUAUUGAAAAAUACGGCUACGACACCGAUAGCAAACAAGUACCGUGAGGGAAAGUUGCAAAGUACUUUGAAGAGAGAGUUAAAAAGGGCGUGAAACCGCUGGCUGGUAAAACCCGUCUUGAAACACGGACCAAGGAGUGUAGGAGGGUUGUGUUGGUAGCGUUGAAGGCUAUGAGGGAGUGAUCCUGGCUGGAGCUGCCAAUAGUACAGAUCUUGGUGGUAGUAGCAAAUACUCAAGUGAGACCCUUGAGGGCCAACGUGGAGAAGGGUUCCAUGCUAACAGCAAUUGGACAUGGGUCAGUCGGUGAAUUAGGUUAAUAUUCCUAAACCAAGAUGGGGAGAUGGCACGGACCACGGGAAUCCGACUGUCUAAUUAAAACAAAGCAUUGCGAUGGCCUAAGAUUGUGGUGUUGACGCAAUGUGAUUUCUGCCCAGUGCUAUGAAUGUCACAGUGAAGAAAUUCAUCUAAGCGCUAGUAAACGGCGGGAGUAACUAUGACUCUCUUGUGGUAGCCAAAUGCCUCGUCAUCUAAUUAGUGACGCGCAUGAAUGGAUUAACGAGAUUCCCACUGUCCCUAUCUACUACCUAGCGAAACCACAGCCAAGGGAACGGGCUUGGCAAAAUCAGCGGGGAAAGAAGACCCUGUUGAGCUUGACUCUAGUCUGGCUUUACGCGGAGUAUGUAUGUGCGGUGUGCGGCGUGUAAAAAGCGUCGUCGCUUGUGUGUAUAUACGUUGCGAGUGGAGCCACGAAGUCGUUUCGUAGAAUACGGGGCGCAAAUUCAGUCAAUGUAUACUUGUAAUGCAUUGGCGUAUUUUUGCUUGUCUCGCUAUGUAAGCGUACACUGCAACCAAUUAGACGGCCAAUUGUGGAAACAGUGUGCAAUUUAAUAGGGAAACCUGUUGAUUGUAUGCGCCAAAAUUUGUGUAUCUACCGUAGGUAGCCUGAUUAUGAUCUUGUAUUGUAUUUGGGUGUAUGACGUUUGUACGAUGCGUGAACUACAAUUGGGCACUGAUUGGCAAAAUGAAAAUCGAAUCGCAAGAUUCGUUUGCUCAUAAAAAGCGGCCAACACGGUCGGCGGGCACAAUUGUACGCUAUGAGUAUAAGCUUAGUAUCUUUGAAUUCAGGCACGUAUAUUGUUGGUGGGCUUGCUUGUCAAUAUAUGCGCUGUUUCCUGUCUAAUCGGGUAUUAACUUUGCUUGUAGUUUGAUGCAAUUGCUACGAUAGCAUCGUCGACCAUAGUGGGUUUGCAAUCUUAUUGGCAGUGAGUAGGUCGGCUUUCCACACGCGUUGAAUUAUCUAUGCGUUUAAAUACGAUUAGUUAUGAUUCAACGCCUAAGAGAAUGGCGAAAGCUAUUUCUGAAUCAAAGGCAGUGUAUGCAAAAAUAUCGAAUAUAUGUUGAAAUCGUUUAUAUAUAUAUAUAUAUAGAUGUGUGCGUAUGUGCAAUGUGUGUUUAUACGCAUAUUUUCAUAUCACAUGUUUGUGUAUAAACGUACAAAAAGAUAUAUUAGAGAACACUGCAUGACUCGAAAGGUGGUAGCUGUGCGGUUGUUCACUCAACUGUGCGCUAUCUAAGGCGGUAACGCAAACAAGGCUCUGAGGAUCGAGUUGGUCGGGCUGUGUGCGAGAUACAUUCAUGAGUUUGUAUCUGUGCUGGAUCAUUGCUUGAAAGCGUACUCCUAUGGGGGCGUGCUGGAUGGCUGGUGAAUCGGCACGGAUCGCUCAAUUGUUGAUUGCUACAGCUACGCUGGUGAUUGGUUGUGUAUAUGGCGACAUGUGCAUGGCUGGUCAUCAAUAUAAAAAGCGUCAUCGGCCAACAACUAACGAUCGAAUCAGAACUCAAGCUCUCGGUGAAAACGUGAAUCAGUUUCAUCUGGUAAAGCGAAUGAUUAGAGGUCUUGGGAGCGAAACGCUCUCAACCUAUUCUCAAACUUUAAAUGGGUGAGAUGUACGACGUACUUGACUGACGCCGUAUAUAUUCAUAACGAAUGUAUAGAGAGCUUAGUGGGCCAUUUUUGGUAAGCAGAACUGGCGAUGCGGGAUGAACCGAAAGCGAAGUUAAGGUUGCCGAUAAUGGUGUUGACAAAUAAACACUAGCUUCAUUCAUGAGAUCCCAGAAAAGGUGUAAGUUGCUAAAGACAGCAAGGACGUGGCCAUGGAAGUCGGAAACAUCUAAGGAGUGUGUAACAACUCACUUGCCGAAGCAACUUGCCCUGAAAAUGGAAGCAGCUCGAAUGAUGAACCUAUACUUUGCUCUAGUUAAGUAUCGAGUCGAUCGGUCUUGAUUAGGCCAGACUGUCAGGAGGUUAGUGUGCAGUCAAAAGCAUGCUAACCAUUUAGUUCUGACAAAACAAAUAUAAAUGACGGCAUAGUGAAAUCAAAUUAUAUGUGAUCUGAGGUCUAUAACAACGGCCUACAGCGCAACAUAUGCCCACUCGUAUGGUUAUACGCGCAAGUGUUAACCGGGUGGAGCAAAGAGAUACUUGAUUGGUAUUCUCCCACUUGGCCGUACCCAUAUCCGCAGCAGGUCUCCAAGGUUAACAGCCUCUGGUCACUUAGGAUAAUGUAGGUAAGGGAAGUCGGCAAAACGGAUCCGUAACUUCGGGAUAAGGAUUGUGAAGAGACAUGAGAGGUGUAGCAUAGGUGGGAGAUUGGUAAUGUUCGCAUUAUUAAUCGCAAGUGAAAUACCACUACUUUCAUUGUUUCUUUACUGA
rnacentral:rRNA from 1 species